rnacentral:rRNA from 1 species
GACGAACGCUGGCGGCGUGCUUAACACAUGCAAGUCGAACGGAAAGGCCCUGCUUUUGUGGGGUGCUCGUGUGGCGAAGGGGUGAGUAACACGCGAGUAACCCGUCCUUGACUUUGGGAUAACUUCAGGAAACUGGGGCUAUUAUCGGAUAGGAGCUUUUGAUGCACGGUGGGCGUUGGUAAGUUUCGGCGGUUGGGGAUGGACUCGCGGCUUAUCAGCUUGUUGGUGGGGUUGUGGCUUACCAAGGCUUUGACGGGUAGGCGGCCUGAGAGGGUGACCGGCCACAAUGGGACUGAGAUACGGCCCAGACUCCUACGGGAGGCAGAAGUGGGGAAUAUUGCACAGUAGGCGGAAGCGUGAGACAGCAACGCCGCGUGCGGGAAGACGGCCUUCGAGUUGUGAACCUCUUUCGCCUGUGACGAAGCGUGAGUGACGGUAAUGAGUAAAGAAGCACCGGCUAACUACGUG